UGUGGUGAUGAUAUCGAGGGUGAAACACUCUAUUCCAUCCCGAACUAGACAGUGAAACCCCUCCGAGCCGAUGGUACUUUGUCUUAAGGCACGGGAGAGUAGGUAAUUGCCACAU
rnacentral:rRNA from 1 species